rnacentral:lncRNA from 1 species
UUAUUUGUUUUUUGUUUUAUGUUACUGGAUGUUGCUCUGUCUUCACCUGUGCCUGCUGUUAGACUGAAUACUUCUGUAGUAUCUCCUUGUAUAUUCUUUUGCACUGCAAUCAACUUUUUUACUUUUUCUUCUUAAUCACAUUCAAAGUCAAAUAGAUGAUUUCUGAUCUUCAUUCAUUCCUAACUCUAGAGUUUGCAUUUUCAUGGUUUGGAUUAUACUGAUUCACCUAGCUGCUACUGACCUGAAUCACCAAUCAACAAGCUGCAGUAUGCACAAUGUUGGACCAAGCAGGGAGAGCACAAGCAGCUGUAGAAAGCUUUACGACAGACACUUUAAGGAGUGAAGUACUGUGUCUCCCCUGAAAGUGAGAUAAACUAGAAUGAUAAAGCAACUUUCUGUGUUCCAUUUGUGGAGACUGCACUUGCUAGUGAAUCCACUCCUGCACUGACAUAAAAAAAAAGGGGGGGGGGGGAAGCCUGUAGGUCCCCAUCUUUGGGACCCCAAAAUAGUAUUUAACCAAUGUGGAAUGCUCUGAUGAAAGAUUGUCUUGUAAAUGAAAGAAUGCCAUAGAAAUCAUAUCUGUGCUUACUGAUCUCAAUGUAAUUAAGUGAUUAACAUCCACUGAAAGGUGAAUGUCUGGUUGGUAUCAGGACUCCUUUAAUAACAUAUGAACAAGGAAGCUUAGUGAUUCACAGACCAUGCCCAGAGUGACUGUAGCACCCAUGGCUACACAAAAGUUGGUAAUUGAUUCUCAGGGAGAAAGUACAAGUUCUUUAAAAUUAAAAAAUGUGUAAAAAAAAAAAAAAAAAAAGAGAGAGAGAGAGAGAGAGAAUGAAGGAACAAAGAAAAUAUAGUAUCCCAUUGUCCUAGCAUGAAAAUAUCUUUGAACAACCACUACAGCAGCUGAUUUAAACUGAGGUUUAUAGAGACAUUGUGCUCAUUCAUGAGAAGCUUUACUUUACUUGAUGCUCCAAAUUAAGAUUUCCAGGCAUCCCAUUUAAUCUUCUAAUCCAAUAAUCCUAAAAUCCAGCAAUUAAAGAAUGUUUUGACAAAGCAACCUGAGGCUCAUUCCUCUAAUUAUGCUGCACAGUUUAAGCUCACUGACUUCAAAUAUAUAGGUUUGCCCCUGUAAAACAUAUACACAAUGCAUCUGAAUUUACUAGAUUAAGAGACACUUCUGCAGAAUGCAGCCUAUUAACAGCUUGGACAGAGCUGAAACAAGAUCAAGACAUUAAUAUCUGAGAUCAACUACUAUUUAAAAAAAUACUAUUUAAAAAUAGUAUUUAAUAAACAGC